ACGGGAGGCAGCAGUGGGGAAUAUUGCACAAUGGGCGCAAGCCUGAUGCAGCAACGCCGCGUGAAGGAAGACGGUUUUCGGAUUGUAAACUUCUGUUCUUAGUGAAGAAUUUUGACGGUAGCUAAGGAGCAAGCCACGGCUAACUACGUGCCAGCAGCCGCGGUAAUACGUAGGUGGCAAGCGUUGUCCGGAAUUACUGGGUGUAAAGGGGGCGCAGGCGGGAGAUCAAGUCAGCUGUGAAAUCCAUGGGCUCAACCCAUGAACUGCAGUUGAAACUGUUCUUCUUGAGUGAAGUAGAGGUUGGCGGAAUUCCGAGUGUAGCGGUGAAAUGCGUAGAUAUUCGGAGGAACACCGGUGGCGAAGGCGGCCAACUGGGCUUUUACUGACGCUGAGGCCCGAAAGUGUGGGGAGCAAACAGGAUUAGAUACCCUGGUA
rnacentral:rRNA from 1 species